UCGCUUUGGCAGCAGAUGUACUAAAAUUAGAAUGAUACAGAGAAGAUUAGCAUGGCCCCUGUGCAACGAUGCCAUGCUAGUUAAUGAAGUGUUCCUUAUUUUA